rnacentral:rRNA from 1 species
GACGAACGCUGGCGGCGUGCCUAAUACAUGCAAGUUGAGCGAUGAAGAUUGGUGCUUGCACCAAUUUGAAGAGCAGCGAACGGGUGAGUAACGCGUGGGGAAUCUGCCUUUGAGCGGGGGACAACAUUUGGAAACGAAUGCUAAUACCGCAUAACAACUUUAAACAUAAGUUUUAAGUUUGAAAGAUGCAAUUGCAUCACUCAAAGAUGAUCCCGCGUUGUAUUAGCUAGUUGGUGAGGUAAAGGCUCACCAAGGCGAUGAUACAUAGCCGACCUGAGAGGGUGAUCGGCCACAUUGGGACUGAGACACGGCCCAAACUCCUACGGGAGGCAGCAGUAGGGAAUCUUCGGCAAUAGACGAAAGUCUGACCGAGCAACGCCGCGUGAGUGAAGAAGGUUGUCGGAUCGUAAAACUCUGUUGGUAGAGAAGAACGUUGGUGAGAGUGGAAAGCUCAUCAAGUGACGGUAACUACCCAGAAAGGGACGGCUAACUACGUG